GAUGAACGCUGGCGGCGUGCCUAAUACAUGCAAGUCGAGCGAACAGAUAAGGAGCUUGCUCCUUUGAAGUUAGCGGCGGACGGGUGAGUAACACGUGGGUAACCUACCUAUAAGACUGGGAUAACUUCGGGAAACCGGAGCUAAUACCGGAUAACAUUUAGAACCGCAUGGUUCUAAAGUGAAAGAUGGUUUUGCUAUCACUUAUAGAUGGACCCGCGCCGUAUUAGCUAGUUGGUAAGGUAACGGCUUACCAAGGCGACGAUACGUAGCCGACCUGAGAGGGUGAUCGGCCACACUGGAACUGAGACACGGUCCAGACUCCUACGGGAGGCAGCAGUAGGGAAUCUUCCGCAAUGGGCGAAAGCCUGACGGAGCAACGCCGCGUGGGUGAUGAAGGGUUUCGGCUCGUAAAACUCUGUUAUUAGGGAAGAACAAAUGUGUAAGUAACUGUGCACAUCUUGACGGUACCUAAUCAGAAAGCCACGGCUAACUACGUG
rnacentral:rRNA from 1 species